AUACGUAGGGUGCGAGCGUUAAUCGGAAUUACUGGGCGUAAAGCGUACGUAGGCGGUUUGAUAAGUCAGAUGUGAAAGCCCCGGGCUCAACCUGGGAACUGCAUUUGAAACUGUCAGACUAGAGUUUGGUAGAGGGUAGUAGAAUUCCUGGUGUAGCGGUGAAAUGCGUAGAUAUCAGGAGGAAUACCAGUGGCGAAGGCGGCUACCUGGACCAAAACUGACGCUGAGGCGCGAAAGCAUGGGGAGCAAACAGGAUUAGAAACCCCGGUAGUCC
rnacentral:rRNA from 1 species